rnacentral:rRNA from 1 species
AGAGUUUGAUCCUGGCUCAGGACGAACGCUGGCGGCGUGCUUAACACAUGCAAGUCGACGAAAGGCCCUGCUUUUGUGGGGUGCUCGAGUGGCGAACGGGUGAGUAACACGUGAGUAACCUGCCCUUGACUUUGGGAUAACUUCAGGAAACUGGGGCUAAUACCGGAUAGGAGCUCCUGCUGCAUGGUGGGGGUUGGAAAGUUUCGGCGGUUGGGGAUGGACUCGCGGCUUAUCAGCUUGUUGGUGGGGUAGUGGCUUACCAAGGCUUUGACGGGUAGCCGGCCUGAGAGGGUGACCGGCCACAUUGGGACUGAGAUACGGCCCAGACUCCUACGGGAGGCAGCAGUGGGGAAUAUUGCACAAUGGGCGGAAGCCUGAUGCAGCAACGUCGCGUGCGGGAUGACGGCCUUCGGGUUGUAAACCGCUUUCGCCUGUGACGAAGCGUGAGUGACGGUAAUGGGUAAAGAAGCACCGGCUAACUACGUG